GCCAGCAUGGCAUAGUGGAUUGAGUGUUGGACUAUGACUCUGGAGGCCAGGGUUCGAUUCCCAGCUCGGCCU
rnacentral:tRNA from 1 species